GCAAGUGUUUCACUUUCAUUUCAAAACAAGUAAAAGCUAUCAAGUGCAUAAAGGGGAAAAAAAGGAAACAUUUUCUUUCACAGAUCGGCAACUCCAGAACGAACGGCAGGACUGGCUUCUCCCACCGUGUCUCAGACAGUCCCGAGAGCCACUGCAGGAUGCAGGGAAACCUUCAUGGCUAGAGGUAAGAAGCAGGUGCCUUGUGCUCUGUCACCCACAACUUACAUAAAACCGGAUCAGACCACCCACAGCGGUGUCUGUGAAGCAAUGCAGACUUGGCACCGAGAUGCGCACAUUUUUUUCCCCUUUAUAAGAGAUAAAGACUCUGAGCCUCAGGGAGGCUUGGAAGAAUGCAAUGAGGUCACUCCACAUCUGUUGAUGUCAGGGCCUGAACCCACAUCAUCUGACUCCCAUUGGCACCCCUGGUCUCGCACCUCCACCAACUGACACUCGUGACUAAAGAGGAAUAGAAACCUACUUGAACAUUUUCCGUGAUCUGGAGAUUAACCAAACCUGGUUGUGUAAUCUUCUAGAAAGAAAUAUAUAGCUCUGUAUCUCAGCUCGCAAAUAGUUUCUGAGUAUCUGCUAGAAGCAAAGCAUUGCUAUAGGGCCCAAGGGACCUGAAAAUAAAUGAGAGACGGCUUCCAGUGAGCCAGCAACUUCCAAAGCAUGUGUCUAAUAGAAGGAAAAUUCCCCAGUCAACCAGAGCAAAGGAACUCUACAGGGAAGGCCGUGGGAUCGCUGUGUAGACGAACAGCAUGAGGUGGGGAAGUGUCUUGGGAGCCCUCCCAUUUCAUACCAGGUGGAGCUUUGGCAAUUACGACAAGAACUUAAGGUCAGAGGAAAACUCAGAAGAAGAGAAUAAAAACCACACUUUCUGACAAAAGGUAUGUUUUUCUUAUGUUGACUCCAUUAUGACUUGACAGGGCCAUCGGAUGCCCAGAUAUUUGGUCCAAUGUUAUUUCAUGGGUUUCUAUGUGGUGCUGGCUGGUUCGACUCCUGCUCUCCACAUAUCUAGGGACCAUUGAGCGCCAGGCAGAACGGAAGAAAUGAAGCUUGUCCGUCCGGGUGGGUUCUCAGGAUCUCAGUUGGUGUGAGUGCUGGGUAGAAACAGCCUUCUCUGGGGGUUUCCAGUGAAACAGCUUUCCUUUGGGGGGGUGUAACAAGGGCCAUAUAAACCUUGGGGAGUGGGUAGGGGGUUUGGGGAUAAGUGUAUAUUAUUGGCUGGGGCUGAGUGCUGGGAACACUUCAUUUGCAUAAAGAGGAAUUCCAAGUGCUAGCCGGGCAUAUGUCCUUACAGGGAAAGAGGAAGUUAAGCCUAUAAUUUGGCCACCAAACUACCUGAUUACCUUAGCAGUGGUGGACCUGGAGUUUGCAAAAUCUAUGCACACCAGAGCAUGCAGGAACCAGAACAGGGAGGGAUCGAUGCUUGGUCCCGCUGGUCUCAAAACGAGCUUUUUUCAUGGUUUGGACAUGUCUCAACCUCUUGCUCUAGGUCUGUUCCUCAGGUUGUGCGGGCCUCUUUUGUCCCACAAUGGGGUUAAUGUUAGUCAAUUUCUCCUUGGCGCGAUGCACAUCUGAAAGAAACUUCUUAGGGAUCGUGGUGUUUAGAAUGAAAAUUGUUCCCUAUGGUUUAGGGUAUUUGCACACUUGGUCCCCAGUGGGUGGCACUGUUCAGGGAGAUUUAGGAACUGUGGCCUUGCUGGAGGAAGGACGUCACUGGGAGCGGGCUUUCUAGCGUUUUAGCCACACCCACUUCUAGUUCACUCCAAGGCUUCACUCUGGAAGUUGGAAGAUGUGACCUCUCCGCUCCUUGUUUCUGCUCUCGUGCCUGCCCUUCCUCCCCACCAUGAUGACUCUUAUCCUUCCAGAGCUGUAAACCCAAACGGACCCUUCAUUCCACGAGUUGCUUUUGGUCGUGAUGUUUUGCCAGAGCACGGAAAAUUAACCAAUACAAGGACAGAUGAUCACUUUUGCCACUGCGAUGGUGGAUGACAUGGCGUCACAGAACAACUCGGAAUAUCAGGGUUAAAGCACACGGAAUGGGACCACCUUGGAUAUGCUGGGGCUGGACCAAGGGAAGAGAAUUGAUAGACCACAUCCUAUAAACCUAAACACCAAAGGGAGGAGGACUGUGGCAUUUCACUAGAUGACAACUCCACAUGAGUCUCUGCCCCUGAGGACCUUCAGUGGGACGAGUUUGGAGACAGAAGAUAGUCCACUGAUGGCUCUGCUUCUGAUGGGAUGUGACCAGCUGCAUCAAGUUCCUGCCAUCUUGACAUUCCCACAGCGAUGGACAGUGACCUAAAGUCGUGAAUCCGAUAAACCCUCCUCCUUUAUGUUGCUUUUGUCAGGGUAUCAUGUCACAGCAACAGGAAAGGAAGCUACGACAGCCUCUCAGUACCGCCUCCCUGGAACGUUCUCUGUCCUCUGACUUCAUCUGUCCAACCUGUGUGUGUCCUGCUAUCUGUGGCUUCUUUCAGCCGUAGAGUCUUUGUUGUUUAGCUCCAGGUGGGUAUUUCCGUAAAGUGGCGAGUGUCUGCUGAGAGUUGCAUCUGCCUGUCGUGCAUAGUGUGAGCAGCCCGCAUGUGGAACUAGGAGGACUGCAAACAGACUAGAAGAAAAGCGAGGCACAUUUGCUGCAAGUGUGGUCUCAGCACCGUGUGAUGCGGCUCCCCUUUGCAGAACUUAAGGAGGAGGAGAAGCUUUCAGUUAUGAAGACCUGGUGUUUGCCAAAGGAAAUGCUGAAGGGAGUUUUGCUGCUCAGUCAUGGUGUAUAAACUCCGUGAGUGACAUCAGGGUUUGUGGAAGUAUUAGGGUUGGGUGGCAAAAGUUUCUCUACAUUAUCAAGAACCUUGAGGAAGCAGCUGAACUGAACCCUAAAGUUGAGACUUCGACUCCCUUGACAGUGUUAGGUGCUGAGUACCUGCCAUCUACAUCCUGUCCAAAUGCAGAGAACACUUGACCAACUGAUGUUAUCUACAACGCAGCCAUUUUACCUGAAGCUUAGUGGACAUCAGAGGAGGGGGAAUAGAAAGAUCAUAAAAGCCAGAGAACCAGAGUGUCUGCUGUGAGAUAAUGUCUUCUAGUCAUGACAAAGAAAUUGUAGCCAUGAAAUCUUAAAAAAUAUGGUUACCUAAACAAGAUCUGCACAAUGACUAUACCAGUUGCACACCAGUAUAGAUGGGGGAAAGUCUCACAAGGCUGCAUCUCAGUAUGAGGAGCUGAAGGAAUUAGUGGCUAAUAAAAUAGGGAGAAUUAGAAUUCUCCAGGGACAAACACUCUAAUAGGUUAUCUAAUCCAAUGUGGUCAGCCC
rnacentral:sRNA from 1 species